rnacentral:rRNA from 1 species
UACGGGGGGGGCAAGCGUUGUUCGGAAUUACUGGGCGUAAAGAGCGUGUAGGCGGUUCGGUAAGUCUGUCGUGAAAUCCUGAGGCUCAACCUUGGACGUGCGAUGGAUACUGCCGGGCUAGAGGAUGGUAGAGGCGAGUGGAAUUCUCGGUGUAGCGGUGAAAUGCGCAGAUAUCGGGAGGAACACCAGUAGCGAAGGCGGCUCGCUGGGCCAUUCCUGACGCUGAGGUGCGAAAGCGUGGGGAGCAAACAGG